rnacentral:rRNA from 1 species
AGUGAACGCUGGCGGUAGGCCUAACACAUGCAGGUCGAACGGCAGCACAGUAAGAGCUUGCUCUUACGGGUGGCGAGUGGCGGACGGGUGAGGAAUACAUCGGAAUCUACUUUUUCGUGGGGGAUAACGUAGGGAAACUUACGCUAAUACCGCAUACGACCUACGGGUGAAAGCAGGGGAUCUUCGGACCUUGCGCGAUUGAAUGAGCCGAUGUCGGAUUAGCUAGUUGGCGGGGUAAAGGCCCUCCAAGGCGACGAUCCGUAGCUGGUCUGAGAGGAUGAUCAGCCACACUGGAACUGAGACACGGUCCAGACUCCUACGGGAGGCAGCAGUGGGGAAUAUUGGACAAUGGGCGCAAGCCUGAUCCAGCCAUACCGCGUGGGUGAAGAAGGCCUUCGGGUUGUAAAGCCCUUUUGUUGGGAAAGAAAAGCAGCAGGUUAAUACCCCGCUGUUCUGACGGUACCCAAAGAAUAAGCACCGGCUAACUUCGUG